AAAAAAGACAACAUAAAUGUGCCCGAUCUCGUCUGAUCUCAGAAGCUAAGCAGAGUCAGGCCUGGUUAAUACUUGGAUGGGAGACCACCUUGGAAUACCAGGUGUCAUAGGCA
rnacentral:rRNA from 1 species